UUGUCGCAAAAUGUACUUACAAUCUUUCCGCCUCUUCUCUCUGCAACUUUGAAUUGUCGAGUGUUGGACGCUGAUAAGUUCGAAUUAAAGUGCCGUUUUGUUAAAUAGCAAUGAUUUUUUCGUUCGAAUUACCAAGUGUAUGAAAAUGUAUUGAUUUAGUUCGAAAUAUAAAGAGAUUUAGUAGGGAACUCGUGAUAACUUUGAAUUAUAGAGAGGUUCGAAUUAUCGCAGGUUUGAAUUAACGAGAGUCGACUGUAUAUACAUAUGUAUGUAGGUAGAAAGUAAGUCCACAGUCCAUUGGGUUACUUAAGAUCAAUUUGAUUUUUUUCCGUUUUCCAGAGAGGGCAUUUUGCAUCCACUGGAGCAAAUGAUAGUCAAAAGUGGCUAUGAAGCGGGUAAGGCAAACUUCCCAACCGUUUUAUUUCAAAUAACUUUUAAAAUUUAAUGAUUGUAAUUCUUUGAAAGGGGUGACAUAUGUACAUAUUUUGCAUAUGAGUAAAAAAUUAUUGUUGUUUACCAAUGAAUGACUUAUAAUAAGAAAGACACUCAAGGACAAUAGCUUCCCAAUGCAUAUUCGGAAUAGUGCAACAAUGGAAUAAUAAUUAAGUUACCAUCUCUUGGCAAAUCGUUAAUCUUUUUUCACAAUCAUUCAUAACCGUUUUGUCCUCUUAUUUGGAGUCUAGUCCACCCAAUGAAGUAGUCAAACUUCAUGUAUAUAUGAAGAUGCCAAGAAUUAUCAGUAUCAUCAACUUAAAAACGCAUAUUCAAUAUAUACCGAGCUCUACGAAACUGAUAUUUAUACUGUUUCAGAUAACGGUCAAUCCACAUGGGAACUAUGAAUGCAUUACACAUUAUCUUUAAAUAAUUCGCAAUCAUCUGUGACAACAGAGCUUAUUUUUAUUAGAGUGUUAAAUAAACUUCAAAAUGAUGGAUGACACUACUUAAAGCACACACAUACAUACAUACAUAAAGGUGAAGCUUUCAAGGCUAUGAAAUCAUCCGCCAUCAAUGCGCCAUCGUGGACAUCGUACAGGAACUUUUUUUAUACAUGUCAUUUCAACAAUUUAUUAAGCUAUGUAUUAUACACCCAAUAAAUAAAUAUAAAAAAAAUCAUUUUGUA